rnacentral:rRNA from 1 species
AAUAGAUACCCGGGUAGUCCACCCCGUAAACGUUGGGAACUAGUUGUGGGGUCCAUUCCACGGAUUCCGUGACGCAGCUAACGCAUUAAGUUCCCCGCCUGGGGAGUACGGCCGCAAGGCUAAAACUCAAAGGAAUUGACGGGGACCCGCACAAGCGGCGGAGCAUGCGGAUUAAUUCGAUGCAACGCGAAGAACCUUACCAAGGCUUGACAUAUACGAGAACGGGCCAGAAAUGGUCAACUCUUUGGACACUCGUAAACAGGUGGUGCAUGGUUGUCGUCAGCUCGUGUCGUGAGAUGUUGGGUUAAGUCCCGCAACGAGCGCAACCCUCGUUCUAUGUUGCCAGCACGUAAUGGUGGGAACUCAUGGGAUACUGCCGGGGUCAACUCGGAGGAAGGUGGGGAUGACGUCAAAUCAUCAUGCCCCUUAUGUCUUGGGCUUCACGCAUGCUACAAUGGCCGGUACAAAGGGCUGCAAUACCGCGAGGCGGAGCGAAUCCCAAAAAGCCGGUCCCAGUUCGGAUUGAGGUCUGCAACUCGACCUC